AUGCAGCGCCGGCUGCCGGCACUCCUCCGCCGCGCGGCGGGCGCGGGGCCCGCGCGCCGGUGGCUCUCCGCCGCCUCCUCCCUCCUCUUCGACGACACCCAGGAGCAGUUCAAGGAGAGCGUGCACCGGUUCGCGCAGGAGCACAUCGCGCCGCACGCCGCCGCCAUCGACGCCUCCAACCACUUCCCCAAGGAGGUGAAUCUGUGGAAGCUCAUGGGGGACUUCAACCUGCACGGCCUCACCUCCCCAGAGGAGUACGGAGGGCUCGGGCUCGGUUACAUGUACCACUGCAUCGCCAUGGAGGAGAUCAGCAGGGCGUCCGGGUCGGUCGGCCUUUCCUACGGCGCACACUCAAAUCUGUGCAUCAACCAGUUGGUCCGUCAUGGCAGCCCUGCCCAAAAGGAAAAAUAUUUGCCAAAGCUAAUCAGCGGGGAGCAUAUUGGGGCAUUGGCAAUGAGUGAACCAAACUCUGGCUCUGAUGUUGUCAGUAUGAAGUGCAAAGCUGAGAAAGUAGAUGGCGGCUAUGUCAUUAACGGGAAUAAGAUGUGGUGCACAAAUGGUCCGUCUGCUCAGACACUGGUUGUUUACGCGAAAACAGAUAUAACUGCUGGAUCGAAAGGAAUAACUGCUUUCAUAAUUGAGAAGGGAAUGCCAGGGUUCAGUACUGCCCAGAAGUUGGACAAACUUGGCAUGCGAGGAAGUGAUACAUGUGAGCUUGUCUUUGAGAAUUGCUUUGUGCCUCAAGAGAAUGUUCUUGGUGAAGAAGGGAAAGGUGUUUAUGUCAUGAUGUCUGGUCUUGAUCUGGAAAGACUUGUAUUAGCUGGGGGCCCUAUUGGGCUCAUGCAGGCAUGCCUUGAUGUUAUUCUUCCUUAUGUUCGACAAAGGGAGCAAUUCGGCCGUCCGAUUGGUGAAUUUCAGUUCUUACAGGGGAAAAUGGCAGAUAUGUACACCUCCUUGCAAUCAUCAAGAUCAUUUGUAUACUCAGUUGCUAGGGACUGUGAUAAUGGCAAAGUUGACCGUAAGGAUUGUGCAGGAGUGAUCCUCUUUGCUGCUGAAAGGGCAACACAAGUUGCACUUGAGGCAAUCCAGUGUCUUGGUGGCAAUGGAUACAUAAAUGAGUACCCAACUGGCCGUCUCCUGAGGGAUGCAAAACUGUUCGAGAUUGGGGCGGGUACUAGUGAGAUCAGAAGAAUGAUAAUUGGCCGUGAGCUGUUUAAAGAGGACUGA
rnacentral:rRNA from 1 species